UUCAUGGGCUCCAGAUGGCGCCAUAGUGAAAUGGCAGCGCGGAGGAGGCGGGUCCUCUGAGAGCAAAAACCUGACAAGGGGAGGACCCAGCGCAUGCGUCGUCCUUCGGUUGGGGACCCUGCUUAAGGCUCCAGACAGACUUCACACAAUUUGAAUGAGUCUGACGGGAAGGAAUGCAGACGGCCAGACAGAGGAGGACCAGGCCGUGUAUCCCAUUUCAGUGCCCACCCCAGCAUUUCCCAAUGGGAGGCCAGAACAAGGCAUCUGAUCCCCUGGGACUGGAGUGAUCGUGAGCUGCCAUGUGCGUACUGCGGAUCACCCUGCCUACGAGUGUGUGGCGCAGUGGGCAUGUGGAGGCAGGAUCUCAUACAGCCCAGACUUGCCUGGAACUCUACGUACAUAUGGGUGGCUUUGAACCCUUGAUCUUCCUGUCUCCACCUCCAAGUCCCAAGAUUACAUGCAUGUACCAGCAGGC